GUGCUCAUUUUGGCAGGACAUAUACUAAAAUUGGAAUGAUACAGAGGAGAUUAGCAGGGCCCCUGUGCAAAGAUGAGUGAAAUUCAUGAAAUGUUCCACAUUAAA
ensembl:snRNA U6 U6 spliceosomal RNA